AUCAGCCUUUCGUGUGCGAUUCUGUGGAGUUUGAGGAGCUUAACACCUUCAUGCUUUGCAUAUUCGUGCUCUUGGGUGUACUUGCCCGUGUGGUUGGUUAACAUCAAUUUCGGGCACCAAAAAAUGGCUGGAGGAAUGUAGCUUUGAUCUUGUAUUGAAGUGUUAUAGCCUUCGGUAGAUGUGGUGAUCGAGAUUGAGGAUUGCAACGGAUACCUUUCGGGGCUACCUGUCUGAUCUCUGAUCGUUGCUUUGGUGCUGAAAGCGUGCUUAUAGUUAUCAAAGUCGAUGGUCAAUAGGUUAGAAUGGGUUAAAUUCGUUAAGGAUGUUGACGUAAUGGCUUU
rnacentral:rRNA from 1 species